rnacentral:piRNA from 1 species
UGCAGAAGGUGGCAAAGGCAAGA